CAGUAGCCGCGGUAAUACGUAGGUGGCAAGCGUUGUCCGGAAUUAUUGGGCGUAAAGGGCUCGCAGGCGGUUUCUUUAGUCUGAUGUGAAAGCCCACGGCUCAACCGGGGAGGGUCAUUGGAAACUGGGAAACUUGAGUGCAGAAGAGGAGAGUGGAAUUCCACGUGUAGCGGUGAAAUGCGUAGAGAUGUGGAGGAACACCAGUGGCGAAGGCGACUCUCUGGUCUGUAACUGACGCUGAGGAGCGAAAGCGUGGGGAGCGAACAGGAUUAGAUACCCCCGUAGUCCCUGUCUCUUAUAC
rnacentral:rRNA from 1 species